rnacentral:lncRNA from 1 species
CAGAGCCACCGUCACCACCAAAACCACUCCACCACCACCUCUCGACAACACCACAACCAACACACAAACAACAUCCAUCACCGCUAACACACACAUAUCCACCUUUGAAUAUUGACAGUACCAUCACCACCGCCAGAUCAAUCACCACCGCAACACCGCCAUCAUACAAACACCGUCACCACGACCACCUCAUAAAACACCACUUCAUGCACUUUGGUCAUAGAUCUACUUCACAAUCAGCCAUUGCCAGAUCCGCCACCACAACCACCUCAACAACACCACCAUCACCACUACCACAUAAAACACCAUGUCGUGCGCUAUGGUAGUAGAUUUGCUUCGCAAAUACAGUCUCCAACGAUUUGCUCAUUCUGGGGUGAAAUGGAUAGAGGGGUUGGGACGAUGGAAAGGUAAGGAGCUUGUGAUUGCCGGAGGUGAUGGAUUGUGUAGGUUGGUGUAUAGAGAGAAUGGAUAAAUGUAGAGAGAGAUAGGAGAAUGAGAAUUAAUUAAGAUUUGUGAUAUGUGUGUAUUGGAGUAUAUGUAUUUAGUUAAAAUAUUUAUUUUAUAAAAAUAUUG